rnacentral:rRNA from 1 species
UUAUUUAUUUUUUUUCCCCUUAUAAGCUCGUACUUGGAUUUUUGGUUAAGAGGGCGCGGUCGGCCGUUUGGUCUGUACUGCGUCGUCUUGACUUCCUGAUGAGGACAUGCUCUUGGUUAACGCUGAUACAUGGAGUCAUCGUGGUUACUUUGAAAAAAUUAGAGUGUUCAAAGCGGGCUUACGCUUGAAUAUAUUAGCAUGGAAUAACACUAUAGGACUCCUGUCCUAUCUCGUUGGUCUCGGGAUGGGAGUAAUGAUUAAGAGGAACAGUUGGGGGCAUUCGUAUUUCAUUGUCGGAGGUGAAAUUCUUGGAUUUAUGAAAGACGAACUUCUGCGAAAGCAUUUGCCAAGGAUGUUUUCAUUAUUCAAGAACGAAAGUUGGGGGCUCGAAGAUGAUUAGAUACCAUCCUACCCUCAACCAUAAACGAUGCCGACUAGGGAUUGGUGGAUGUUAAUUGAUGACUUCACCAUCACCUUAUGAGAAAUCAAAGUUUUUGGGUUCCGGGGGGAGUAUGGUCGCAAGGCUGCAAACUUAAGGGUUGACGGAGGGUGACCACCAGGCGGGCAGCCGGCGGCUGACUCUCACCCCUCACGGGAAAUCUCACCAGGGACGUACACUGGAAGCAUUGCCACAGUGAAGCUCUUUCUGAUUCCGUGGGUAGUGGCACGUGGGCGUUCGUAAUUGGUGGGAGUGAUGGGGUUGGUUUACUCCCGACGACAAAAGAAAAUAUAUCCCGCUAAAUGCACGUACGGGGCCCCUUUUGGGGCGACUAUUGUUCUUAGUGGGACUGCCAACUCUUACUUGCACGAAAAAACAAGCGAGU